UGCUUUUAGAUGUGAUUGGAGGGGAUUCAUGUUAAAUUUAAUGUGAUUGGGAUGGUUCAUAUAUUUAUGCACAUGAGAUGCCUUGCUAUGUUUAGGAGGCCUAGCUAUCAUAUCAGUAGGAUUAGUACUUUGUUUAGUAAAGUGAUUAGCUAUCAUAUUUGAUGAAGGUUGAAGGUAUCCUAGGCAGAGAAGCAUUAGAACUACCAUUCGUGUGAGGUAUUAGGCGAGAUGUUGGGGAUUUUCCAAGCUUAUUCGGCUUUGGGCCCAACAAUUCCUAGUGCUUGCCUUGCACGGUUUGAUUGCAAAAAGAAAAGAAAAGAAAAGAAAAAAAAACCAGAGUGUGAAAGUGCAAAAAUAAAAAAAUCCCUUUAACAAAGCACUCCUUUGAAACUCGGUGGGUAAAGUGGAUUCUAAGUGUCAUGUAAGAAACUGGUGCAGCUCAGGGUGCAAAACCAUGUGCUUAAGCCAAGACUACCAUGAGGUUGAACCAGUGAACUCACCAUCAUCAUCAUCAUCAUCAUCCACCACUGCAGGCACCUCAAACAAGCUGAAGCUGCUAUGGGUGAAAUUCAAGAAAGAGAAGAUGAAGAUCUUUGAAUCUCCCGUUAGAGUACCUCGUUAUGAUCCUCACACUUAUUCUCAGAAUUUCGAUCAUGGGUUUACAUGGGAUGAGCCUGAAAAUCUCUCUAGAUCUUUCUCCGUCAGGUUUGCUGAUCCUUCUAGUAUUUUUCUAAGGAAAACUGUAGUGCCUGUUUAAUGUUUGAUGAAAAUCCCUGAAUCAAUGCGCUUGUGUUCAUUGAAUCUUUUUCCCCCCCUCUGUAAAUAGCCUGUUUCUGGAAAUUUUCCGAUAUAUUUUAAGCUGUGAUUCCAGUGUUUGAUAAAA